rnacentral:rRNA from 2 species
GAACGGCUGGCGCAGGCCUAACACAUGCAAGUCGAACGGGAAGCAUCCUUCGGGAUGUGGAGAGUGGCGCACGGGUGAGUAACGCGUGGGUAUCUGCCUCGAAGUGGGGGACAACCGCUGGAAACGGCGGCUAAUACCGCAUACGCCCUGUCUUUAUNGAUGGGGGAAAGCUUUAUNCGCUUCGAGAUGAACCCGCGUUGGAUUAGCUNGUUGGUGAGGUAACGGCUCACCAAGGCAUCGAUCCAUAGCUGGUCUGAGAGGAUGAUCAGCCACACUGGGACUGAGACACGGCCCAGACUCCUACGGGAGGCAGCAGUGGGGAAUAUUGGACAAUGGGGGCAACCCUGAUCCAGCCAUGCCGCGUGAAUGAAGAAGGCCUUAGGGUUGUAAAGUUCUUUCAACCGGUGAAGA